AACGAACGCUGGCGGCAGGCUUAACACAUGCAAGUCGAACGGUUGUAGCAAUACAGCAGUGGCAGACGGGUGAGUAACACGUGGGAACCUUCCUAGGGGUACGGAACAACUCAGGGAAACUUGAGCUAAUACCGUAUACGUCCGUGAGGAGAAAGAUUUAUCGCCAUUAGACGGGCCCGCGUCGGAUUAGCUAGUUGGUGGUGUAACGGCCUACCAAGGCGACGAUCCGUAGCUGAUCUUAGAGGAUGAUCAGCCACACUGGGACUGAGACACUGCCCAGACUCCUACGGGAGGCAGCAGUGGGGAAUCUUGGACAAUGGGCGCAAGCCUGAUCCAGCCAUGCCGCGUGAGUGAAGAAGGUCUUCGGAUUGUAAAGCUCUUUUGCCAGGGACGAUAAUGACGGUACCUGGAGAAUAAGCCCCGGCAAACUUCGUGCCAGCCGCCGCGGUAA
rnacentral:rRNA from 1 species